rnacentral:misc_RNA from 1 species
UUUCCGUAGGUGAACCUGCGGAAGGAUCAUUAAAGUUAUAGUCCCCUGGCCCUCUGAGCUGGGGUCUUCUAUACCACCCUUUGUUUAUUACACCUUUGUUGCUUUGGCAGGCCUGCCCUCGGGCUGCUGGCUCCGGCCGGCUCGCGUCUGCCAGAGGACCUAAACUCUGUUUGUAUAUGAAGUCUGAGUACUAUAUAAUAGUUAAAACUUUCAACAACGGAUCUCUUGGUUCUG